rnacentral:rRNA from 1 species
UACAGAGGUGGCAAGCGUUGUUCGGAAUUACUGGGCGUAAAGGGCGCGUAGGCGGCCUUCUAAGUCAGACGUGAAAUCCCCCGGCUUAACCUGGGAACUGCGUCUGAUACUGGGAGGCUAGAGUAUGGGAGAGGGAUGUAGAAUUCCAGGUGUAGCGGUGAAAUGCGUAGAUAUCUGGAGGAAUACCGGUGGCGAAGGCGGCAUCCUGGACCAUUACUGACGCUGAGGCGCGAAAAGCUAGGGGAGCAAACGGGG